ensembl:lncRNA
UAAUUUACAGCAUCAUUCACUCUUACCUGACUCGUGCAGGAUUCUUGCUCUAUGUCGGGUCCACCCUUUCUCUGGCUGUGGUGCCUCCAUUGUCCUAACACUCUUCAGCAACCUGUCAAGGUCUUUAUAUGGUGGCCACCAGGAGUAGCCAUCUGCAUACCAGGACUUGGCGGCUGGUCCAGUCGUCCCUUCUCCCUCAAACUCCACGAUUAGAAAUCAACUGUUGUUGAGAGGUCAUCCACUAAAUGAAUGCCAAGUGUAGAGGAUGGCAGUGGAUAGUCAAAAAAGGAUUCCUGGUGUUUGAAGGUACUGUAAGCUACAUAAAUUUCAUCCCUGAAUGAAAUUAUGUUUUGCAGCUUAGCAACUUUGCCGCCAAUGCAAACCUGACUGUUUGCCUGAUCCAGUUUCAGAGUGUGAAGGCUUGUUCUUAACUCUUUAUAUUGUGUCGCCUCAUGAAAGGAUGCUGGUAGAGGACCAGUCGCAUGUGGUUUUUUGAGCAGAUGUGGCCUGGUUUUGUGAGUUUUUUUGCAGCAUCUUUGCAUUUCUGAGAAUCCUUUUAUUAUUUGACUCAGAGGGCAUGUUGGUUUCCUCAGAAGUCUUUUGAGUUUGUUUAAGUGAUUCUCGUACUUGAAAGCACUGAAGUUGUCAAGGACACCAUGCUUUUUCGCAUCUUCUGCAAGAUGUACAAGGCAGUGUGCAUUGUAGGACAAGAAUUGUGGACCAUACAGUUGACCAAAGUGAGUGACAAAGAGCACCAGUAUGUCAUUGGCAUAAUCACAGUAUUCUUCAAUCAAACUGUUGUUGCACAGGAUGAAGAUUCCCACAAAAAGUAGCAAGAAAUUUUUGUACACCUCUGUGUUAAGAAGAUCUUUCAUCAUGACAGGUCCGGUAUACAGUAAAAACUGCCUGAACUCUGUUGCCUUCCACCUAUCAAUUUCUCUCAGUGCCCUUGGUUUCCGUGCAAACUCCAUGGGCACAUUUCUCCGAGCAUUUAACAGUCUUUCUGACAAUGUGUUUAUUUGAAAUCCUGACAGCCUACAAGUCAGAGGACCCAUCUUCAGCCACAGGAGAAGAAGCCGUCUCAUGAUUCCGAGGCACACAAGGUGCAUGUAGUCGAGGGGGAAACCAGAGACCAUGUUUAGGGAUGUUUCUUCAAGAGGUGAUGGACCAUGAUGAUGAUCAGCAUCUGUCUUGUUUCUGAAACUCUCAUUAGUUCUUAAAGGCAUGUCAAUUCUUGGAAAUGUCAUUCUAUUUUCUAGGUACAAACCAUCCUGUGUGCAUUUUUCACAUCCGUGAUAGCCUGUGUGACCUUUAACAUUUUUCAGGAAUGCACGGGCAGGUGCAUCGCAGACCAUCGAAGAGAUGUCCCUAGGAUGGGCCAGAACUGUGUUGCGGAGCUCUUAUAGAGGGCCAACCAUCAAUGCUGACCUGAAGCUCCAACGUGUGAAUGUUGCGCAGAAUGUCAACAUUCUGAUGUAGCACCUCUGCAAUUGAAUUCAGCACUCCAAAAUGGCAUGCGAUUGGCUGUUAGGUGCUGAUGUCGCGCUUUACUGUGGUGCUGCAAGAACACCACCUAUUCAACUGAGAAAAUUGAUCAGCGUCGUGAUACGAGCGAAGAUGGAAUGGUUUGGUUUGAUAAACUUGAAACGAAAUCCCGCAACCUUGAGUUUGUUAAACUGUUAUCACUGAACAGGCCUUUUUGUGAUUCACGAAAUGCGUGUUAAUACCAGCUGGAAACGAGGCCUGCGCUUGUGCUGUUGCCAGGGUGUCGUCGUCUCGAAGUUUCCUUAAUUCUGCUGCACCAGCUGUGGAAACCUGACCUGGUGAGGACCCUCUCCUCCAUCCUCAACCAUUGAACCUCUUAUCACACUCGGACGAGGACAAACCAGCCUGUGAUCUAGACUCCUAGAUCCAACCCUGGUCCACGAUCAUUCCCACACCUGUGUCUCAUCACAGUCCAUCACCUGUGUCUGCACCCUGCCUACUGCUAAUAUUAUGGAUUUCUGUUCUGGAGAGAUAUGCCAUUCACAACAAUCUCUACACAAUAUCAAACUCAAAUAAUUUAGUCCUGCCUAACAGUUUUCCUGAUUUGUUACUGUUCACAAUGUAGCACAGUCUCGUCUUUGUGCAUUCAGUUGUUAAAAUAUGUCCUUAUUAUUUGAUUGUAUCUCAAGUUUAUUAUUUAAAAGCAAAUUCACAAUCUUUCACGAGAAGAGAUAAUAGGUGUGUCUGACUUGAAGCAGUGCUGUGCAGACCGAUCGAAGUAUGACAUCACAGUACCACGAGAGCAAUAAGACUGUAAGACAGCUUCUUAUGCUUUUGAAUCACUCUCAUGAUACUUUGUCAUACUUUAAGCAGUGCUGCGCAGACCAAUUGAAGUUGAACACGUCUAAAGUGUAAACUCUCACUGUCAGCUAUGGGACUUCUGCAGUAAUAUGACGAGCAGGUGUUCAGUGUCAUCAUCUUACUUUAUUGAAAUGCUAUAUUGACCUGGAUUCAGGUUUAAAACUGUUUAACUGGGAAAGAACAAAUUAAGUGUCAUUAAUGUUGUGAGGCUGCAUAACAUCUGGUCAGAAGAAUGUUUGUGUAGUCUGUUUCCUCCUGAGGUUUCUAUCUUGUAUAGAUAAAUAUCUAAAAAUGAGUGUCUUUGUAACCAUUCUCAAUAGAUACUGAAAGCUUU